AUGGAGGUUGCCUUGUCUGCAGUUGCAGGUGAACUAGUGAGCCGUUUCAUCUCCUUCCUGCUGAACAAGUACCAUUCUAGCCGUCUACACUCGCAGGAGAAGGUGAUGGAGAGGUUGCAGCAUCUCCUGAUGAGAGUUUGCACCAUCGUCGAGGGGGCGGACACGCGGUACAUAAACAACUCCGGGAUGAUGAUGCAGCUCAAGAUGCUCUCAGAGGCCAUGUACCGAGGAUACAGUGUGGUGGACAACUCAAAGUACCAAGCUCUCCAGGACGGUGCAAGCUCUGACGUGGUUAGCAGCAACGACUCAUCUACCUGGAGCUUGUAUUUAGCCAAGCGUUCUCGAACAACUAAUAAGGCCACACACCUUGAGUUGCAUUGUGCCUUGGAAGACUUGGAAAUUGUUGUUGCUAACAUGGCAGAAUUUGUUAUCCUUCUGGGUGGAUGCGAGUGCAUGUCUCGUAGGCCAUACGAUAUUUAUCUUUACAUAGACAACUUCAUGUUUGGCCGGCAUGCUGAAAAGCAAAAGCUCUUGAGCUUCUUGCUGCAUCCCGACCCUCUUGGUGAUCAUGCACUGGCAGUUCUUCCGCUCAUAGGUGGUGCAACAACUGGGAAGAAAACUUUGGUUGCUCAUGUGUGCGGUGAUGAAAGGGUUCGCCAGCGCUUCUCCUCUAUAUUGCACUUGAAAGGAGACAACCUUUUAAGAAUACUUGACCACGGAAGGACUAUGAAAGGGGUGAUGUUGAUCGUUAUUGAGUUUGUUUCUGAUGUAGAUGAUGAUGACUGGGAAAGGUUUCACUCAUUUCUCAUACGAAUUGGAAGAGGAAGCAAGAUCAUCAUUGUAAGUAGAAUUAAAAGUUUAGUCCGGUUUGGAUCGGUGAAGCCGAUAUUCUUAAGUGCUCUAUCUCACGAUGAGUUGAGGUACCUUUUCAAGAUAAUGGCAUUCGGAAGCGUAGACCCGACAGAACAUCCACGGCUACUUCAGCUCGCAGAUGAAUUUGCCAAGGUGUUGCAUAGUAUGCAAUCUUCACUUGUUGAAAUAACUGUGUUUGCAGAUGCGUUAAGGAGGAGUCUGCAUGUUCAAUCUUGGUGUUGCAUAUUGGACAAGGGGAUAAGGUUCCUUAAAAGGAACCUCUCCAUGUAUGGUAUGCAGCCAAGAAUAGCGCUCCUAGAACAAGGCCAUCCAGUGGACAUAACGGAUGUUACUUCACAUCCACAUAGCAUGACACCUUAUACAAUUAAUGCCUCAAUCGAGAAACCACCAAGUGUGACUGCUGCGGAACUUCUAACAGAUCCUAGUGUUAGACCAAAAGGAGACUUCAUUCUCAUUUUAUGGGAAUCAAGGAUACCCCCGUAUGAAUCAUUUGUUUACUUUGUUACAAGUCGUGCUCAGGAUACAAAUCAAGGUAGCACCUUGGCAGGGAGGAAGCGACGAGGAGUGCCGGUCUAA
rnacentral:rRNA from 1 species